ensembl:lncRNA
GCGAGUUUGCUGUGGUGUCUGAGCUUGUGAACCGCUACCUCCCGUGCGGUGCGGUUUACGGUUUUGCCCAAGGUGUCCGUUAACUGAAGGAAAUUGCACCACUUCAUCAGAGAACUAGAGUACUUUCUCUCAGCAAGGCUGAGAAUAGACCUGAGAAACUGGCAGGUACAUCUUGUUCCAAAGUCCUGUGUUGCGUACUGGAUUGUGGUCUGGGAGUUGGUCAAUCUCCUGGAUGUGUGGUGGUUGAAGGGCCAACUUGAGAACCUCAUCUGAACUAAGCAUGUCUUCUGUCGUGAAGUGGGAACCACAUCAUGAGGCUGCAGGCAGACACUGCCUAGGUGGAAGCUCUGCUCUGUGAAGGAGAAUUGGCUGCUUGGAUCUGCACAGGCAUCAUGACUUGGACCUACUCCUGAGGCAUGCCACCCCCUGACUGGAUUUGAGGUGCCAGUUAAUUCUGGUCCUGACCAUCUGUCCUAAAAUGGGUCCAUACAGACCUUGUGUGCAUACAGGUUUGAAAUCCUUGGCAGCAGUCCUGGCCAGACACGGAUGAAAAAGGGUCCAUACAGAAAAACGAUCUGAAUGUGUGCUGAGGAGUGGGGAGGUCCAUGCCACGUUUCCGGACCUGAUUUCAACGAGGUUGCCUGCAUCCUCAGUGAUUUGGGUCCCAGCUACCCCCAAGCUCUACUCCCUCCCUGUCUGCGUCAAGACUUUUUUUUUUUUUUUUUUUUUUUUUUUGCCAUCACCAUGUUCCAGCAUGGCUUUUCCCUUGUACUACAGUGUUUAUUUCAAUAAAUGUGUGGCUUUCACAUUG